rnacentral:rRNA from 1 species
UUCGGGGUGUAAACCACUGUCGUGGGGACGAAGCACUGACGGUACCCACGGAGGAAGGCCCGGCUAACUACGUGCCAGCAGCCGCGGUAAUACGUAGGGGUCGAGCGUUGUCCGGAGUUACUGGGCGUAAAGCGCAUGCAGGCGGCUCAUUACGCACGGCGUGAAAGCCCCCGGCUCAACCGGGGAGGGUCGUCGUGUACGGGUGAGCUUGAGGGUAUCAGGGGCUGGUGGAAUUCCCGGUGUAGUGGUGAAAUGCGUAGAGAUCGGGAGGAACACCUGUGGCGAAGGCGGCCAGCUGGGAUACACCUGACGCUGAGAUGCGAAGGCGUGGGGAGCGAACGGGAUUAGAUACCCCGGUAGUCCACGCAGUAAAUUGAUGCAAGACUAGGACGUGGGGAGGACUUGACCCCUUCCGUGCACGGAUGCUAACGCGAUAAGUCUGCCGCCUGGGGAGUACGGCCGCAAGGCUAAAACUCAAAUGCAAUUGACGGA